GACGAACGCUGGCGGCGUGCUUAACACAUGCAAGUCGAACGGAAGGGCCCUGCUUUUGUGGGGUGCUCGAGUGGCGAACGGGUGAGUAACACGUGAGUAACCUGCCCUUGACUUUGGGAUAACUUCAGGAAACUGGGGCUAAUACCGGAUAGGAGCUCCUGCUGCAUGGUGGGGGUUGGAAAGUUUCGGCGGUUGGGGAUGGACUCGCGGCUUAUCAGCUUGUUGGUGGGGUAGUGGCUUACCAAGGCUUUGACGGGUAGCCGGCCUGAGAGGGUGACCGGCCACAUUGGGACUGAGAUACGGCCCAGACUCCUACGGGGGGCAGCAGUGGGGAAUAUUGCACAAUGGGCGGAAGCCUGAUGCAGCAACGCCGCGUGCGGGAUGACGGCCUUCGGGUUGUAAACCGCUUUCGCCUGUGACGAAGCGUGAGUGACGGUAAUGGGUAAAGAAGCACCGGCUAACUACGUG
rnacentral:rRNA from 1 species